CCUGAGGAUGUACCCCUUGCCCUCAGGGUCCACGAUGGACACUAGCCAUCAGCAGGACUCCCUUUAUGGAUUUCCUAGAAGUCUCACAGGGCACUUGUGCCCUGUAUCUUAUUGGCAAGAACUUGGUUGCAAAGGAAGCUGGGAAAUGUAGUUUUUAUUCACGGUGGCCAUAUGCCAAAAUAAAACUCAGGAUUUUGUUACUGAGGAAGAAGAUUGUGUCUUACGUUGGGUUUCCUAGAAGCAGGCCCAGAAACAAAGAUUGUUCCUAAAAGAAAUGCUCCGAGCAGAAUUCAGUAAGGAGCUAGAAGAAGGAUAGCCAUGCAAGGAUCUCAGACAGUUAUAUGACAGGUAGGUUCAGCCUGACCUGAAGGGGAGCUCUCAACUGUAAACAAUGCCUCUGAGAUGUCCCUGCCCCAGGCAGGGUAUCUGGGCUUCCAUUCUUCUAUGCCUGUCAGCCACUGGCUAAGAGCCACCCUCGUUGAUAACCCAGGUACUUCAGUCUUUCUAUAGGUGGGCACAAAAGGGCAGUAGCACAAGAACAGCCCUCCCAGAAGAGCUGCAGGAGCCUUAGGUCAGAAGCAAAAGCAUGCCAAGUGGAAGGGGCAGACUCAGAGAAAGGGAUCUGGGAAUCUGCAGAGCCCCAGUGGGGUCCCUGCAGGGAUAAUGCCUAGUGGGAAGGAAGUAGCCACCUCUGUCACUGAGGCGAGGAGGGGAAGGGUGGGAAUGGCUGAUAGUGGCCAACAGGCAGCCUGUGCAGCGUGUGUGCAGUUCCUGCCUAUGAGAUGAGAUGGUGAGAAUCAUGGAAAGUCAUAAGCAAGAGGGAAGACAGAAAAGACCAGGAGACCAAGUGCUGCUGUGUGAGCUCAGGGCACUCUUCCGAGGUUAGCUAUUUUAAAUAGUGAUAACAGUUACAAUGGGGGCAAAUUGAUGCUGAUCAGCAAUGCAUGUAGACAUUUAAUUAUAGUAUUUAUUUUAUAAACAGGGAUUUUCUGGAACACAGAGUAUUUCCUUUGCAAGAACUGUCCAUAUUCUUUGUCCACUUACCUGUGGGGUGGUUGGAUUUCUGGUUGAUUUGUAGAAGCUCUUUCAAUACGAGGGAAAUCAGGCCUUGGUCUGUCAUGGGUAUCCCUGUGUUUUUUCUCAGUUCAUAGACAGAUUUUGUGUGUACACAGAUUCUUCUUCCUUGCCACAUACUGUGUGGGGGAGUGACAUUGCUAACUGUCCACCACGUUCUCCAAAAGACCUGUCAUCAUAUCCCACCCCUGGCCCAGGGCUGCUGGAAGACUGUGCCACAUAGGAGGUGAGGAAAGUAUCAGCCAGCAGGUUCUGCCCCAGCCUCUGCACAGAAGCAGAUGUGUCCCCACAAGGGUGUCCUGAUAUGUCAUGUUCCCUAGUUCCUUAGUCAUUGCUCAGGUUAUCAUGAGCAUUUUAGAGAACUUACUUUGUGUUUAAGAAACCUAAUGGUAUAUAAAGCUAUAAUGACUUUUAAUCAUAUGAAAAGAUAGUACAGACGGUGAGAGGGGAAACUGACAUGACCUGUUUGGUGGACAAUUUGCAAUAUCUAUUGAAAUUAGAAAUGCACAUGGCUCUGACCCAGCAAUUCCACCUUGAGAGUUUAUAAUAACAAUACAUUCACACAUGUACAUAAAGAAGUAUGUGCAAGGAUGUUCAUUUCCACAUAUGGAUUGUAAACUCCUCCACGGCAGUGACACUGAAUGUCUCAUUUUCUACUCUCUAUUCCCUAGAACAGUGACUGGCACACAAUAGACACGAAUACAGAUUUUUUUUUUUAAACAAUGAAGAGUUAAGGGCUGGGAAAACACCUGUGUUUCAUGGUUGACUAAUUAUAGUACCUCCAUAGAAUGGAAUAUUGUACAGUCAUGAAGAAGAGGUAGAUUGAGGUGUGUGUGAUACUGAACCAUCUCUAAGGUAUAAUGUUGUUAACAGCAAGGUGUAGAGUAGGGCAAGUAGUAUGCUGCUAUUUGUUUAAAAAGAAAAAAAUAACAUACAUAAAUGUGGAAAUAUGCAAAAACUGUCUCUGCAAAGGUUUAUAAGAAUUGCCAAUAUAGGAUGAGAGAGAAACUCUUCACCAUUGGCUCUCUUUUGUGGUGGUUGCUUUUUUCAUGUGUGUAUAAUGUAUAUUGUCUAUUCUAAAUAAGUAAAUAAAUGAGGUGCUGUUUCCGAA
ensembl:lncRNA novel transcript, antisense to RARRES1